AAGGAAACAAGACCUUCUUAAUCACAGGCUGCUUGGAGGGGCUACGGGGAGACCAGAGGCCCCGCCUGGCCCAAGGCCGGCAGUGACCCACCUCCCCACCGCCGAUGCCAGCCCAGCUCGUUUGCCCAGCCGAGCCCGGGCUGGGAUGAAGGCGCCUCCGACUUUGCAGUCCCUGGAAUAAUAACUCACAUUACUUCGAUCCCAUCUGCACCGAGUGAAGGCAGAGCAGGGGAAGGAGCAUAAAACACAAAGUUCCCACAGACAACAUCUGUCUUAGUGCAAACAAUGGACCAUUAUCUUGUAAAUAAUUCUGAUUAAGCUGCAGCAUUUCCUCCUGAAUCUGGUGGUUUGGAGCCCCGGAAGGAGGAGGUGCUGUUACUCGGGGCCUCUGCAGCCCCCUCGGCCGGCCCCCUCAGUGUUCCCUCUAGAACUGGGAGAACCGCUGGCCCAGCAGCCAGGCCCUUCCCAUCAGCACAGUGCCACCUGCACGCCCGGGCGGCUUCCCGAGGGUUCCCCUCGGCCCGGACCCGCUCAUUUCUGCUGGCUUCUCUUCCCCCCCUUCCUCGAGGCUUUCCUCCGUCUGCCCUCUCCCCUCCGGGGGCUUUUCUUCUAUCAUUUUCUUCUGCUCUGUUCGCAUUUUCUCUCUUGGCUUCUUUCCUUCACUUCUGUCCUCCAGGCCCAAUUUCUGUUCUGGUUCUUCGAAUCCUCUCCCAUCAUCGGGUCCUUCCGGCUCCCCAUCCCUCUGUCCACCCUUCGUCACAGACCAGGCCCCUGGGGCUCCGCCAUCCCUUCAGACUCUCUAUCCCGCAGACCCCUGAUAUAGUGGGCAUGGUGUCCAGUCUGGGGUCCCCAGGCCUGCAGGCCCCAAACCACUCUCUGGCUCUCUCGGGCUGUCAGGCCCUGGAUGCCCUGGGCCCAAGGGCAUCCCUCUUUCCCCCACUGGGAGGGUCCCACACGCCUGGCCCCAAAUCCAAAGACCCUCUCCCUCUUGGGGGUUCCAGGAUAGGGAGGCCCGCCUGCUUUGCAUCCUCGUGCCUCGCUACCCACCUCCUCCGCCUCCAGCAUUUCAUGAACCCACCCAAUGCUAGGGAAACCCAGGCACUCUGCCUAUAUGAAUGAAAUGCAAAGGCGUCUACCGCAAAGUCCUCAAGGAAAU
rnacentral:lncRNA from 1 species